GCGCAGCAUCAUCGUGGUCUGUUAGGCAGCAGAAAGCCUCUGACCGUUGGGAGGAAGCACGGCCGUACCACCUCAGAUGCCUUUUGGAAUCUGAGGCUGUUGGCAAGUCAUUGUGUUGCUUCUGCCACAAGCCGGCUGUUAUAAGGUGCAGAGAGUGCCUUCCGGAGCAGUGGUUUUGUGGGGCCUGCGACAUGCAUAACCACAGCAAACGGCCACUCCACAACAGGGACAGCGUGGUGGAUGGCUUCUUUAAAGCCAUUCCCCCAUCCACAUGUAUCUCAAGAGGAGAGACUGGAAUAUAUGCCACACAUGAGCAAGAUCGCAUUUUACCCACAAUGCCAGCACAGCACUGCACCUGCCAGGUCCCUAGCUUCACAGUGGAAGCUGGGAAACCAGUCAUCUUGAUUACCAUCAAUGGGCGUUAUGAUUUGCAUUUGCCACGUUAUGUGUGCCAAACAUGCCUGCAGCAGUGGGCCCCUGAUGUGAGAGACCUAGUCAGGAGUGGAUAUUGGCCAGCUUCUGCAAAUGCUUCCACAAUCUACACGGUGGACCUCCUCAACACCUUUCAGGAGCUGAAGUUGAUCUCACCUGGAUUCUCCAGGCAAGCCCUUGCAAAAAUGCUGGAACAUCGCACACUGUGUGCAGGAAGAUCUGGACAGAUCAACGGGGAUGCCCUGCAGAGGAGCUUUCUUGAGUUUGCAUACGCCUCCUUUGAGAAAGACCAGCUCUGCUGUGAUACCCCUUUCACCUGCCCUGCCUGCACACCUGAAAUGGUAGCAGUGUCAGCAGAUGGCAACAGGAAGCUUUAUCGCUUUGGCCAUACUGGAAGAUCUAAUGACACUCCCUUUUUUGAUGGGCUAUUUCUAGCCAAAGACAGUGAGGUGUCUGAUUUUGUCAACACAAUACAGAUGGCGGUGAAGAAUAUAAAGGGGAGAGGCACAUGUGGAGACUCUCAAUGGGCAGCAGCAAGGGAGACCUCUAGGCGGGCCUCUAAACUGGAUGAGGAAGGCGUUGAGGUUGCGGUGUGUCGGCAUGGCUUCCUUUUAAAAGCCCUUAACAUGUACCGAGGAGAGAUAUUUGCGUAUCCUAUGUAUCUCCAAAGGGAGCUUCUCCCAAGCAAGGCACAGUUUUUUGCUAUGGAUGUGGCAUGCAAAUACUGGCCAUACCUACAAAAAGUUGCUUCGGUCAUUCCAGCUCUCAAGAGCCUCACAGAAAUGAAGCCCUUCCUGAGCAUCAUGCAUGCAAGAGCUCAUGCUACCAAGUGUGAGAUAAAAUGGAGUGGUCGGAAUCAGAAGGGAGCAGGCACAACUGCCGGUGAGGAGGUGGAGCAAAUAAACAGCUACCUCUCCCGUUGUGCCCUGACAACAAAGUACAUGUCAAAAGCAGCACGUGUGGACAUGCUCACUGUGCAUGCAAUGGGUUGGAACCAUCACAAAGCAGAGACGCUACACAAGGCCCUCUCCACAAGAUAUGUGAAGACAUCUAAAAGGGCAGAAGAAGAGGCAGAGAGGCUGUCACAACUGCAGAAGGACC
ensembl:lncRNA